UACGUAGGGACCAAGCGUUGUUCGGAUUUACUGGGCGUAAAGGGUGCGUAGGCGGCGCGUCAAGUCAGUUGUGAAAUCUUAAGGCUUAACCUUAAGCGGUCAACUGAUACUGUCGUGCUAGAGUGCAGAAGGGGCAAUCGGAAUUCUUGGUGUAGCGGUGAAAUGCGUAGAUAUCGGGAGGAACACCCGUAGCGAAGGGCGGCACUCUGGGCCGAUACUGACGCUGAGGAGCGAAAGCGUGGGGAGCAAGCAGGA
rnacentral:rRNA from 1 species